AGGGGGCAGCAAUGUCACCGGCGAACGGGUGCGUAACGCGUAUGCAACCUACCUACAUCAGGGGGAUAGCCCUAGGAAACUGGGAUUAACACCGCAUAACAAUAGAGUUGGCAUCAACUUUAUUUGAAAUAUUUAUAGGAUGUAGAUGGGCAUGCGUAGGAUUAGCUAGUUGGUAAGGUAACGGCUUACCAAGGCUACGAUCCUUAGGGGCUCUGAGAGGAGUAUCCCCCACACUGGCACUGAGAUACGGGCCAGACUCCUACGGGAGGCAGCAGUAGGGAAUAUUGGGCAAUGGAGGCAACUCUGACCCAGCCAUGCCGCGUGCAGGAAGACGGUCCUCUGGAUUGUAAACUGCUUUUGAAUGGGAAGAAUGUGAUGCUUGCGAGCGUUAAUGACGGUACCAUUAGAAUAAGCCACGGCUAACUACGUGCCAGCAGCCGCGGUAAUACGUAGGUGGCGAGCGUUAUCCGGAUUUAUUGGGUUUAAAGGGUGCGUAGGCGGCUUAAUAAGUCGGUGGUUAAAAGUAGCAGCUUAACUGUUUUACAUGCCAUCGAUACUGUUGAGCUUGAGAUAUUUGGAGGCAGCUAGAAUUUCCGGUGUAGCGGUGAAAUGCAUAGAUACCGGAAGGAAUACCAAUUGCGAAGGCAGGUUGCUACGAAUAAACUGACGCUGAUGCACGAAAGCGUGGGGAUCAAACAGGAUUAGAUACCCUGGUAGUCCACGCCGUAAACGAUGAUUACUAGUUGUUGGGGUUUAAGCCUCAGUGACCAAGGGAAACCGAUAAGUAAUCCACCUGGGGAGUACGCCGGC
rnacentral:rRNA from 1 species